rnacentral:rRNA from 1 species
GACGAACCGUGCAAACGUUAUUCGGAAUCACUGGGCUUAAAGGGCGCGUAGGCGGGCAGGCAAGUCAGGGGUGAAAGCCCACGGCUCAACCGUGGAAGCGCCUUUGAUACUGCCGGUCUCGAGGGAGGUAGGGGCGUGCGGAACUUCCGGUGGAGCGGCGAAAUGCGUAGAUAUCGGAAGGAACACCGGUGGCGAAAGCGGCGCGCUGGACCUCUUCUGACGCUGAGGCGCGAAAGCCAGGGGAGCAAACGGG